rnacentral:sRNA from 1 species
GCCAGGCACGGUGGAGCAUUCCUGUAAUCCCAGCGACUUGGGAGGCUGAGGCAGGAGGAUCACAAGUUCAAAGCCAGCCUCAGCAAAAGUGAGGUGCUAAGCAACACAGUGAGACCCUGUCUCUA